CUGGCUCAGGACGAACGCUGGCGGCGUGCCUAAKACAUGCAAGUCGAGCGGACAGAUGGGAGCUUGCUCCCUGAUGUUAGCGGCGGACGGGUGAGUAACACGUGGGUAACCUGCCUGUAAGACUGGGAUAACUCCGGGAAACCGGGGCUAAUACCGGAUGGUUGUUUGAACCGCAUGGUUCAAACAUAAAAGGUGGCUUCGGCUACCACUUACAGAUGGACCCGCGGCGCAUUAGCUAGUUGGUGAGGUAACGGCUCACCAAGGCAACGAUGCGUAGCCGRCCUGAGAGGGUGAUCGGCCACACUGGGACUGAGACACGGCCCAGACUCCUACGGGAGGCAGCAGUAGGGAAUCUUCCGCAAUGGACGAAAGUCUGACGGAGCAACGCCGCGUGAGUGAUGAAGGUUUUCGGAUCGUAAAGCUCUGUUGUUAGGGAAGAACAAGUACCGUUCKAAUAGGGCGGUMCCUUGACGGUACCWACCAGAA
rnacentral:rRNA from 1 species